CUAGUGCACAUUUUGGCUGAAAACCAUGAAAGGCCCAGAUGAUACUUUGGUAAAACUUGGUUGGAAUUGGACUCAGUUGAUUGUUUUCCUCUUUACUUCCACUACAAGGAACUGGAUUUCACAUGUCAACAAUUCAAAUUUCAAUUGCUAAUAUGAACCAAAUGGCUUUUCUAUGGAGAAAAUGGGGGCAGCAGCAAGUCCAACUCUAACUUUGAAUCUGGAGCUUCGUUUUCUUCCUUUUUGUCGCCAGGAGACAACCGUUUCCUAUUCAGUCUUUAUCUAUUGUACACCAUCGAGAGAGGCAUCUAGGGGAGAGCUUCCUUACGGGGUAAGCAAGCAAAGCGCUAUUCCCGAGCAACCCUAUCAUAUACGCAUAAACAAUGCCGUCUCGACUUCAGCGCGACACGUGGCGGUCCUCGACAUGCAAGAAUCAUCGAGGCUGAGGCACGUUUAGCGAGCUGAUAUGGCAAGAAAAGUGGAAAAAAGAGAGGAAAGUGCUGUGGAAGAUGAGGCUCGGAUAGGAGCAAAAGGGAAAGCAGUUUGGUCAUCGAGUUGGAUGAUGAAUGGCCUAGCUUUUCUGAAUGGUAGGUUUGAAGAACAGCAGGUGAGUGUGAAAUGGGAAUUUUAAUAGAGUGGUUUCUCUGUUCAUUUGGGUAGCUCUAGCUACAAGAGGCUUCUAGCAAAUGCCCAACGACCUCUUUAUAAACCCCUCAAGACCUUCUUCCUUGCUUCCCACUACUUCUGCAACAUAAAGAGGAUUUGAGAGGAGAUCAGUCUAAAUUUUUUCUGUAGUUAAGAGUUGUGGUUAGGAAGUGUAGAGGGAGAGAGAGAGGAGGGAAGCUUAUGGGACCAGGAGGACCAGGAGGACCGGGAGGGCCGGGAGGACCUGGCGGUUGGGGACCUCCCCCACCAGGGGGCCCGCCUGGUUUCUUUGGCGGCUUCGGCAACGUUAUAGGUUCUUGCUUGAGUUUUCUAUGCUGCUGCUGGUUGCUGCAAGAUUGCUUUGGCGGUCCUCCCGGACCGCCCGGGCCGCCGGGACCUCCUGGGUUCGGACCGCCUCCUCCUUAAAAAGUCAUCGCCGGCUCAUUCGUUAGGAUACCAUAUCUAAAUGCGGGUGUUUGGUCUAUGUUUCCGUUUCAUCUUUAUGUUCCUGUAAUAAGUUUUUCCAUUUUUCUCUCGUGGGAAACCAGCGAGAAAAGACAGAUCAGUGUGGCUAUUCUUUCUGUGUUAUAAUGAGAUUUCUAUACCCGCUACAACAUAUUCCAGUAACAAGUUUAAAACGCUUGCGGUUGCUGUAUGUC